CCACACUCAUUUUCUAUGUUCAGUGGACCGUGAAAAUGGGAUAAAAUCUCUAAUUUGGCAUUAAAAUUAGAAAGAUCAUAUUAUAGGGAAAUGUUUACUAAGUUUCAAGUUGAUGGGACUUCAACUUCAUCAAAAACUACCUCGACCAAAAACUUUAACCAAAACUUUAACCUGAAACGGGACAGACGGACAAACAGAUGAUCGCACAGACUAGAAACGUAAUGCCCAUAAAUGGGGCAUAAAAACAACUACCAAAGCAGACACAAGCGAAAUGUUCACUUGAUUCUAUCAUUGGUUAAACCAAAUCUAAUAAUUUGGUACAACAAAAAUCUCAACUCAUAAGAUAUUCUCCUCAACAUUUGCAAUGAUCAUAAUAAACAAUAAUGUGUCAAUAGUAAUCAGAUGCACCACUCACAUUUAUAAUUUCAGUGAACUGUGAGAUUAGGGUCAAAACUCUAACCUGGCAUUAAAAUUAGAAAGAUCAUAUUAUAGGGAACAUGUGUACUAAGUUUCAAGUUAAACUUCAUCAAAAACUUCCUAAAAUCUUUAAUGCCCGCGUCACACUGUCCCGAUUUUUAUAUACGAUGGACACUCGAAUGCGAAAAUUGUAAGUUCGUACGAAGUUGGUCCCGAUCUCGUUAAAUACCGAAAAGUGACCGAAGCAAGUACGAUGAAUAACAAAGUCUAUACGAUGGUGCCGAAAUUAUAUACGAUAGCAAAAGAUGGACAUACGAAGGUUAACCGAAGACGGGUAUUUAACCUUCAUAUCUCAGCCGAAGGCUACACGAUGGAUUACGAAGGCUACACGAUAGUUUAUGAUGGAUGGCGCGAUGGCAUGUACGAUGUCUAAAAGACGUCGUGUACAGCUUACGAUGCAUUUGUAUUAUGUUUAAUUCUUAUAAAACUUAGUUUAUUUAAGAAAUAAUUCAUGGAAGCCAUAGAUUUGUUGGAAAUUUACACAUGGCCUGGGCCGUGAUAUUCGAAUUUUUAUCCUGAGCGUUAGCGAGGGAUAAAAUUAAACGAAUAUCACGGCCCAGGCCAUGUGUAAAUUUCCAACAAAUCUAUGGCUUCCAUGAAUUAUUUCGAUUCUAAUAGGACAAAUACGAUCAUUAAAAAACUGAAGCGAUGAUGGGAAUACCGUGUGUGUGGCUGUUCUAUUUUUACCCACUGUUCGAUAAAAUGUAAAACAAAUCUAAUAAACCUGCAUGAAUGAUUUCCUAACUAACGGCUAGAAAAAAAAUGUGAUUACUUUUUUUACUUCUCAGUAAACCCAACAUUUGCAAUUUUUAAAUUUACAUUUUUUAUCGUAAGCUACCGUCAAAUUCACUGUUGACACGUUGUAACCAAGGAGCCGCCAUGUUGACUUGCUGAAAUCAGUAAAUGUGCGAAUAAUGCAAUAGAACAGAAAACAAGCAACACCUACCUCAAUACUUUAUUUUAAUGCAAUUGUAUCCGAGUUUACAAGGUAAACGCAAUAGAAAAACCUUCAGCUUUAACGUUUUCAUUCGUAUGACGUCAUGUUUUUGAAAUGACGUUAAUGCGCAAAAAUCAUUACUGGAAUUUCGCGGAAUUUUAAUUUAUUUUGUUUUUGUCCAUUUUUUUCGAUUCUCUAAUGUGUAAAUUUAUUUUGUUAAGCAUCAGAAUCAGAAUAAAUGUUCUGUAGGGUUUUAUUCAAUUGUAAUUGUUAACACAGCGAAAUCCACAACCGUUUACACAUAGGUUACGAUACAUGUGGAUUUACGUGGGAGGCAUAUUUAAACAGCCAUUUUUGUACAUCUUGGAGUCUGCGCUAAGUAUAGAUAUAUCGAGAAUUUUAUCACGGUGUUGUUUACAAAGCGAAAGAAGCACCUCAUAUUAGAAUAUCCCCUCGCCUACUGCAUGUAAGUUGCGUGUAGAUAAAAUUGUUAUGGACACUCAAGAACCAAAAUGCUCACAACUUGGUAUGGUGUUACUCGUUAAGAAUAUCUUAAGCGCUAUUGACUUUAAAGUUCAAAAGUCAAGGUCACAGUGGCAGUUGUAAUACAAGGUAAUAUCACCCUUGUGGACACUCUAAAACCAAUAUGCUUCAAAAGAUUUUAACCACAUUUGGUAUAUUGUUCCUCCUUGUAAUGAUCUGACAUUUUUUACGUUCAAGGCCAAAGGUCAAGGUCAUGCAGAUGGACCUGUUUUUUCUCCUUGAAAUAGCAUAAUACACAGGAAAUUGGUUGCUCAUUUUUUUACCUGCUGAUUCUAAAGACAAUAUUAAAGGUAUUUCCAGUUACUGAUUGUUUUGUUUAAUUUCUAAAAAAAUAGUUUAUGUAUCAAAUAUGCAUAUUCAAUUAACCAUUUUCUGCAUGUGUCAUAUACAAAUAUAGUGUCCAUAUUUGUCCCCAAUAUGUUACAUACGAGGGGGUGCCACGCUCGGCAUUGCCUUGUUUGAACUGUAAAAUGUGUGCACUAGUCUGAAUAAUCGCCCAUAAUUAUUCCCAUGUUUACUUAUCUAUCUUAAAGGUAAGGUAAUGGGUUCGUUGAUCCCUUUUAUUCAAAAAGAGCUCUUUCCAGGAGAAUAUCAUAAUAAUAUAGACAAAGGAAGGAUGUGGGGAAAGCAACAAAUGCGGCAAAACAUGACAUAUAGAAAACAAAAUGUUUAUGUAGUAAACAUUCGUGGGACAACAACUAAAAAAUCAGAAUAAUGAAGAAAAAGUUAGUUUCCUGCAGUGUUGGUGUACGAGGCGCGUUUAUGAUUUUCAUUAUGUUACUUGAUAUGAAAAUUUGACAAAAAAUAAUAUUUUACUUGUAAAAGUAAAUCCUGAGCCUGUAAUAGCUGCUCUUCUUGUUCCAUUUCAAUUAAUAGAAACAACGCUGUCGCCUUUCUUGUUCUCAUAGAAGCAUAUGAUAUAAGCUCCAUGUUUUGUGAACGUCUUUCUUAACUGUCGUAUUAGACUGACCAGUGAAUAUCGCGCAUGGCACUUUAAAUGUAUUUUAGCGCGAAAAUUAACUUACAUUUAGCUGGAUUUAUUGCCGUCGUAGUUCCAUCUUGUCGCCUUCGUACUUUUAUUCGAUGGCAACACGAUGGGAUUAUGAGGUCUUCACGAAGUCGUGUUGCCAUCGUAAGACCUUCGGGUAACUUCGUGAUUCAUUCGUGUAGACAUCGUAAUGUCAAAACUGCCCGAUGGAAACGAUGGAAACAUGAAUGCAAUACAAUGUUCAAAGAUGCAUUCCCGGUGACAUUACGAUGGUGAGGAUGGUGAUACGAACUCAAUACGAACCCUCAACAUCGGACGCAUCUUCGGGGAUUUUUUAACAUGUUAAAAAAUUUAGAACCCUUCCCGAAGAUGUCCCCGAAGGCUAGAAAAAGUGGCCGAUGGUUCUAUGAUGGUUAAAGAUGGCACUACGAAUAGCCCGAUCUGGAUACGAUCAGUCCCGAUUUUGAACAUUUCCAUAAUCGUGUUGCCAUCGGCGUAAAAAUCAGGACAGUGUGACGCGGGCAUAACCAAAAGCUUUAACCUAAAGAUGGAC
rnacentral:lncRNA from 1 species